GCCAGGUAUAGUGGUGUGUGCCUGUAAUCCCAGCUACUUGGGAGGCUGAGGUGGGAGAAUCACUUGAACCCGGGAGGCAGAGGUUGUGGUGAGCUGAGAUUGCACCACUGUACUCUAACCUGGGUAACAAAGUGAGACCCUGUCUCAA
rnacentral:SRP_RNA from 1 species